CUCUAAGGAGACUGCCGGUGUUAAACCGGAGGAAGGUGGGGAUGACGUCAAGUCCUCAUGGCCCUUAUGUCCAGGGCUACACACGUGCUACAAUGGCCGGUACAAAGGGCUGCAAGACCGUGAGGUUGAGCGAAUCCCAGAAAGCCGGUCUCAGUUCGGAUUGGAGUCUGCAACUCGACUCCAUGAAGUUGGAAUCGCUAGUAAUCGCGGAUCAGCAUGCCGCGGUGAAUACGUUCCCGGGCCUU
rnacentral:rRNA from 1 species